rnacentral:rRNA from 1 species
CAAAAACACCGCCUCUUGCUUAUAUAAGAGGUCCAGCCUGCCCAGUGACUUCUGUUCAACGGCCGCGGUAUCCUAACCGUGCAAAGGUAGCGUAAUCACUUGUCUUCUAAAUAAAGACUAGUAUGAAAGGCAUCACGAGGACUAAACUGUCUCCUCUCCCUAAUCAGUGAACCUAAUAACCCCGUGAAGAAGCGGGGGUAUUUAUAUAAGACGAGAAGACCCUAUGGAGCUUAAAACAUCAUAACACCUGCCACCCCACCUAUUAACCCCGGUUUUCAUCCCCGUGGCUCCCUGAUUAUAUGUUUUUGGUUGGGGCGACCGCGGAGAAAAACCUAUCCUCCACAAUGAAGGGGACCUCCCUAAACAGUAAGCUACAACUUUUAUGUAUCAGCAAACUGACAUCCAUUGACCCAAUAUAUUUGAUUAACGAACCAAGUUACCCUAGGGAUAACAGCGCAAUCCACUUUUGAGAGCCCCUAUCCGACAAGUGGGCUUACGACCUCGAUGUUGGAUCGGGGUAUCCUAGUGGUGCA